UACGGGGGGGGCAAGCGUUGUUCGGAAUUACUGGGCGUAAAGGGCUCGUAGGCGGCCAACUAAGUCGGAUGUGAAAUCCCCAGGCUUAACCUGGGAACUGCAUCCGAUACUGGAUGGCUUGAAUCCGGGAGAGGGAUGCAGAAUUCCAGGUGUAGCGGUGAAAUGCGUAGAUAUCAAGAGGAACACCUGAGGUGAAGACGGGUUGCUGGGCUGACACUGACGCUGAGACGCGAAAGCGUGGGGAGCAAACAGG
rnacentral:rRNA from 1 species